GUACACGUGAACAAACUGAAAAGUUAAUUACCUUGUGAAGUCCAUCUCCCAGUGAACUUUGGAACCACAAGCACGAAAUGUGUAAUUUACUCCUUAGUUCAAUAUGACGAAGAUGAAAUGACCCCAGAAGCCCGAAAACAUUCGUGCGGUUCAUUAGCUAUUCCCCAUUUGCCACGCAUCUGACCGUAGCUCUUUUGAUUCGUUAGCAAAUCGGAGUUCAUUUAUCGGGAAACGUCGCUCAGGAAUGACUAUGACAAGGAGAGUGACUAGAAACCAGAAUCAAGAUGAUGCAUCUAUCAGUAAGACUAUCAAGACAGAUGAUGUGGGACCAUGGUCAUCCCUCAACCAUGAUGUGCUUUUAUUAGUUAUGAUGCAACUGGGAGUCAUCGAUUUUCUUGCAUUUAGUGGCGUUUGCAAGUCAUGGAGAUCUGUAGCACUCAGUAACAGGAAAACAUUUAUGGCAUCCCAAACCACCAAUGUUGAUGGAUAUCUCUCUCCGUUGUAAUAAGAAGGAUAGGAAAUGCCGCCUAGAGGACUAUGAAGGAAGAGUGUACGAAACCACAUUAACGCAUUCUGCUGGAAUGUACUAUGUUGGAUUAACUUGUGGUUACUUCAUCUUGUUCAGGAUGAAAACCAAUAAGGACUUCUGGCUUGUGAAUCCUAUCACUAGAUAUGAACUUAAUUUCCCUCCUGCCCCUUGGAUGCCUGAUUAUGUAUCAGACAUCAGUUGUGUCCUUGUCUUUUCACCUUGAAUCUCUAAACUGGUGUUCGUUGUGUUAGCCCAGAAUCAAAUAUGGUUUUCUAUAGAGGAUGAGGGAAUAUGGAAUCAUGUCUCCAUUUUUGACCUCAGGUUUUGUAGGGAUUUAUAUGUUUUUAAGGGGAAAAUAUAUACCAUAAA